rnacentral:rRNA from 1 species
CACGUAGGGUGCGAGCGUUGUCCGGAAUUAUUGGGCGUAAAGAGCUCGUAGGCGGUGUGUCGCGUCGGCCGUGAAAACCUGCAGCUUAACUGUGGGCUUGCGGUCGAUACGGGCAUCACUGGAGUUCGGCAGGGGAGACUGGAAUUCCUGGUGUAGCGGUGAAAUGCGCAGAUAUCAGGAGGAACACCGGUGGCGAAGGCGGGUCUCUGGGCCGAUAGUGACGCUGAGGAGCGAAAGCGUGGGGAGCGAACAGG